UCGGGUUAACUAAGAAGGGCUUUUCUCAUAUACAACCAAUUUUCCCAAACUUAUUACUUUUAUACAGCUCUUACUUUUAUAUCUCUAAAAUACGGUACACGCUACUAAUAUUAUCUUUUGUAACCUAAAUCUAAUUAGAAGAACAUCUUCUUCUUCUGAACUUAGCCGCCGCUCACUAUCACCCCACUGUUGUCGUUCUCCUUCAUCAUUGUUACGCUACUGCCGUCGUUUCUCCUUCAAUCAUUCUGCUACCGUUGCAGUCGUUCCUCCUUCAAUCGUUCUGCUAUCGUUGCAGUUGUUCCCUUCGUUAUUAUUAUGUUGUCGCCGUCGUUCCUCCUUCACCGUCGUUCCACUACUGUUGUCGUCGUUUCUUUGUCUCCACUAUUUUUCUAGAUCUAAUAGAUCUACUCUUAUAUUUACUCUGCUGAAGUUCUGCUCCAAAUUCAUGAUGACUGUGAAGGGAAAAGAUGAAGGAUGCGGGAGGAAGCAGAUGACUAUAGUUGGCAAAUGAAUUGUAAAGAGAAUGCGCCUUGGUCUUUUGUGUUUUCUUUGUACUUAAGUUACUCAUCUUAUGAUAUUUUAUUGAAAAUUCCAAUUUCAUUCUUAUUAUACAAUAGUGUCGAUCUUGUGUUGAUUUUAUGUUGAAUUUCGGUUGAUAUUUUGUUGAUUUUAGCAUUGGUGAAUAAGAUAAUAAUUAUGUUA